AAGUACGACACAUAGCAGUCGAGCGGAUGAAGGGAGCUUGCUCCUGGAUUAGCGGCGGACGGGUGAGUAAUGCCUAGGAAUCUGCCUGGUAGUGGGGGAUAACGUCCGGAAACGGGCGCUAAUACCGCAUACGUCCUGAGGGAGAAAGUGGGGGAUCUUCGGACCUCACGCUAUCAGAUGAGCCUAGGUCGGAUUAGCUAGUUGGUGGGGUAAAGGCCUACCAAGGCGACGAUCCGUAACUGGUCUGAGAGGAUGAUCAGUCACACUGGAACUGAGACACGGUCCAGACUCCUACGGGAGGCAGCAGUGGGGAAUAUUGGACAAUGGGCGAAAGCCUGAUCCAGCCAUGCCGCGUGUGUGAAGAAGGUCUUCGGAUUGUAAAGCACUUUAAGUUGGGAGGAAGGGCAGUAAGUUAAUACCUUGCUGUUUUGACGUUACCAACAGAAUAAGCACCGGCUAACUUCGUGCCAGCAGCCGCGGUAAUACGAAGGGUGCAAGCGUUAAUCGGAAUUACUGGGCGUAAAGCGCGCGUAGGUGGUUCAGCAAGUUGGAUGUGAAAUCCCCGGGCUCAACCUGGGAACUGCAUCCAAAACUACUGAGCUAGAGUACGGUAGAGGGUGGUGGAAUUUCCUGUGUAGCGGUGAAAUGCGUAGAUAUAGGAAGGAACACCAGUGGCGAAGGCGACCACCUGGACUGAUACUGACACUGAGGUGCGAAAGCGUGGGGAGCAAACAGGAUUAGAUACCCUGGUAGUCCACGCCGUAAACGAUGUCGACUAGCCGUUGGGAUCCUUGAGAUCUUAGUGGCGCAGCUAACGCGAUAAGUCGACCGCCUGGGGAGUACGGCCGCA
rnacentral:rRNA from 1 species